rnacentral:rRNA from 1 species
AACGAACGCUGGCGGCGCGUCUUAAGCAUGCAAGUCGGACGGUAAGGAAGGAGCUUGCUUCUUCCCUAGAGUGGCGGACUGGUGAGGAACGCGUGGGUGACGCACCCUCCGGACGGGGAUAGCCGGUAGAAAUACCGGGUAAUACCGGAUAAGAGCGCCUCCUUGGAGGGAGGCGGAGAAAGCGGCUUCGGCCGCGCCGGAGGAACGGCCCGCGUGCUAUUAGCUAGUUGGCGGGGUAACGGCCCACCAAGGCGACGAUAGCUAUCCGGCCUGAGAGGGUGAACGGACACAUUGGGACUGAGAUACGGCCCAG